GACGAACGCUGGCGGCGUGCCUAAUACAUGCAAGUCGACCUUAGUGGCGAACGGGAGAGUAACACGUGGGUAACCUGCCCAUCAGAAGGGGAUAACACUUGGAAACAGGUGCUAAUACCGUAUACUGAUGGAUGGACCCGCGGUGCCUUAGCUAGUUGGGGAGGUAACGGAUCACACAGGCCACGAUGCCUAGCCGACCUGAGAGGGUGAUGUGCCAAAGUGGGACUGAGACACGGCCGAAAGUCCUACGGGAGGCAGCAGUAGGGAAUCUUCGGCAAUGGACGAAAGGCUGAACGAGGAACGCCGGGUGAGUGAAGAAGGUUUUCGGAUCGUAAAACUCUGUUGUUAGAGAAGCGGUAUCUAACCAGAAAGCCACGGCGAACUACGUGCCAGCAGCCGCGGUAAUA
rnacentral:rRNA from 1 species